UAUUCUCCGACCACGGGAAGGGAAACCACCAUUGCUCGCCGGAGACCUGACUGUGACGCUUGAAGACGGGGUCGGAGUAGUCAGCGGCGACGUCACUUUCACAGAAAAUUCGAGCUGGACGAGAUGCAGGUUAGGUGCUAAAGUUAGACAACAAGGAGGAGUUGUGGAGGCCAUAAGUAGAGCGUUCGUGUGCAGAGAUCGUCCAAGAGGAGAGUGUACACGACAUGACCAAACACGGAGUUAAAGAAUCUCUUGAUGGAUCCCAAGACGAUGAGGCUCAAGAUUGCAGAUCUUGGUUUAGCCAGAGCCUUCACUCUCCCUAUGAAGAAGUAUAACCAUGAGAUAUUGACUCUAUGGUAUAGAGCUCCAGAAGUUCUUUUUGGUGCCACUCAUUACUCUACAGCUGUUGAUAUGUGGUCUGUUGGCUGCGUUUUUGGUACGUUUUACUCACUUCAAUAUCAAUCUUUACUUAUAAAAACUACAGAAACUAACGUUGUUUCUUUGACAUUGACAGCUGAGCUUGUGACCAACCAAGCGAUUCUUGCUGGGGACUCUGAGCUCCAUCACUCUCACUUAAACUUCUUAAUCAGACUUGAAAAAAUUCUUCGGUAACGUCUUCUUCCGAUGUUGUUGCGUAAUCAGCCUUCGACGCUCUCCGUCUCGGUAGAUCGUCGCAGUUCAUUGUUGCUUGGCUUCUCCGUUUCUGGGACUCGGAAAACAUCAAGAAGUAUGGUAAAUUCAUGGACUGUCUCUCAUCACACUGCAAGGAACUAUAUGAAGUCAAAGAAGGCAAAUAAGAGUUUGAUUUCAAGGUGGUCACCGAGACCGUUCCAAAAUGAGCGUGAUUAUGUCCCGUUGAGCUCUAUGGCUUGGCCAAAGACGAGUCUGAUUACGGAUGAUACACAACAAGCUUCAAGAUAGAUAACAGUGACCUUCGAGAAAGGAGGCAAGCCUACUGUUAGAGUUGCUAGCCUUGGCCACGCGUUGCAUGUCUGGCUCAAUUGAGAAUACCUUGGAUAGUGUGUCUUAUCUGGAGCAUAGAUUCACAUGUCACACGUAGUGUUUCCAUCUUAGGGUUGAGCUCUGGACCACUUGAUCUCACUGAGAAAAACAAAUGGGGAAACAAGGUGGGUAUUGAAGGCUAGAAGCUCUAUAUUCACACGAGAAAGGAUAGAAGAAGGUUAAGUGGCAGAAAUUCUCAUGAAAAGCACCAGGAUUUACCUGGUAUCAGGCAUGCGCCAGGAGUUUAGUAAUAUUAAGUUUUCUUUUUCCAUCUGAAGAAGAUUCUUUAACGAAAUAAGGAAAAUAAAUAAGUAUGUAUUCCUCUUAGUAUCACUAGACAUGAAAAUAAAAAAUUUGUGCUCACUUCACCACCACAGACUGCAUACUGGGAAAGUUGAUAACUCUGAAACAUCACAUGAGUGGUGCUAUAUCUCAUGCUCCAAGAGCUCCUGGAAACUGCGGCGUGGGCUUUCAUCUUUCGUGUGUGGAUCAUAUCAUGAUGAAAAAGCUGUUGGCAUUGUAAGUACCGGGUGGAGAUGGCAGUAUCAGAUGCAUCCGACUCUGCUCUGUUUGUGGCUUUCGAUGCUGAGAUGAACAAGCUGAUCAAUGUUCCUGCUGCAUGAGUGUCUCAAGGCAUGGGCACCAGCAUGGAGGAUGCACAUAACAUUGCUUUCCCACAGUGCCUCAGAGACAUACUGGGGAGGGCCUUAACAUUCCAGCAGAAACUUUCAAGGUUUAAUUUCUCAUCAAAGCAUCAGUCAUUCACCUUAACCAGAGCUUCCCCUUCCAGAUUUUGCAGAGCAGGAGCUAUAUAUAGAGAUACUUCUGAAGCUCUUUAAAGAGGUGCUCCAGUCAACAACGGCGGACCCAUUACUCAUGUCAUGGUGAAAGGCAAGAAACAGCCUCUAAACCUACCAAAAACCAUGUUCGCAAUGGUUAAGCUUCAGAUUACUGGAGCCUAAUGGAAUGUUGCAGACUUCCACAACUGCUUUUUGUCGUUUUCUUAAAAAAAAUCUUUAAUAAAUGUGUACUUGAGCUAUUUGGCUCUGUAUUUCAGAUGACUUAGAAAAGAGCCUCCUACAGUUAUUUAUGUGUACUUGAGCUAUUUGGCUAUGUAUUUCAAAUGACUUAUAAAAUAGACUCCUUCAACUAAUUUAUAUUUGCUUACACUUUUCAAGUGUAUUAAACGAA